rnacentral:lncRNA from 1 species
CUGAACUACAGCGAAAAUUCAAGUCUCAGCCUCAGAGUGUGUCGACAGUUAAAGUAAGGGCUCUAAUUGGCAAAGAAUGGGAUCCUACAACAGUCUCAGGGAGAAAGAGGAGAGAGAUAUUCUAACACACCCACCACGGUUGCUCAAACGUCUUAGUCCCAAUGAAAAGCUGACCAAGAACAGAGUUUAUUUAAACAUGGGUUUAUAGUUUUCCUAUAAAUAAAUAUUUUUAAAAGCCAUGACAUAUUCCGGCUGCCUGUGCUUCUUCUUGUCACCUUCUCCAUCUUCCAACAGCAAUGGGGUUUCUGUCCUUCAAAGAUUCAAAGCUCUCUGGCUUCUGGCUGCAUUUUCUUGUGAUCUCACCUGUAUGUUCCCUUGUGAUCUAGACUCCAUCCUCCCAGAUCCUCUCCUUCCCAGAUCCUCUCCUCUUCGAUGUCUUGCAUCAGGCAGAAGCAGGAAGAAAUAAUCACGUCUGAAAGGUGGCUGUGCACUAGCCCAUCCUGGACAGCAUGAACAACAUGCAAGGCCAAGCCCUGGCUAGAAUCACUGCCACAGCUGUUUCUUACUGUCACUAGUAACGCAAGGACAGAGACUCAGGACAAAAAAAAGGGGGGGGGGGGAGAUGUAGGAAGGGAGAGGUAGAAGGGAGAGGUAGAGAAGGAAGGGGGGAAGGAAGAGAUGGAGGGAGGGGAGAAGGGGAGGAAAGAAGGGAAAGAGGAAGAGAUGGAGGAAGUGGAGAGGGGGAGUUAAGGAGGGAGGGAAGGAGGGAAAAGAGUAAGGAAAGGAAAGAAGAGAAAGAUAGGGAGGAAUGGAAAGGGGAGAGGGAAGAGGGAAUGAGGGAGGGAAAGGGGGAAGGAAGGGGAGGGAAAUAAUACCACCUCUACCUCCUCUGCCUCCUCUCCUUUAAAGACUGCACGAGCAUUUGAUAGAGAGCAGAUUCAUAUUUUAAGCCAGUGUUUCACUUGUUAGCAUUGACCCUAAGGGAGUAAUCAGAGAAUUAUUCUAAGACAGUGCAUUUUAAAUUGUUCCCCACAUUUAGGGUCAAGCGAGACUUUUCUGCUACUCUAGUGAGCACCAGGGUAAGUGGGGGAGCCUAGAGUUGGGUAUGAACGCUCAUGUUAACAGUGGGGCUUCUCCAACAAGUAGCUACCAGUCUCCAAAGCCCCACUUCCUCACCUCAAUGGAGAGGCUAGCAAUACAUACUGUGUAAGAAUUCCAUCAGUGAAUGCUAUAAAGUUACACUGAUUUAUUAUAGUGAUUAUUGUAUUCAGAUGACUUUCAUAGCUAUAUUCACCAAGAACAUGGAUUGAGUGAUAGGAAUACAUGUUAUCCACUGGAAGGAUUAUGAUUAAUCAUAUAUGCUUACCUUCUGGCUCUAAUCUAGGCACAGUAUUACAAUACUCCAUAAGCGCUGAUUACUAAAUGGGCCAGUGGACAACUGGACAAAGUCCCUCGCCACAGCAUUACAAAACCAAAUCGUGCAAGCCAUCUGAAAUCCAACCAUGAGCGAUUGGUCAAUGCAUUAUGGUUCAGAGGCUUAGAAGCAACUGUGCUUGAAAAUCAUAUUUAAUGAUCUAGAAAAUGUCUUCAGAUGAUGUCAGAGAGUGAAAGUAAGCCAUGUGUCAGUGUGUCCUGAAUCCAUAGCAAGCUUGCAAGUCCAUGUGGCAAAAUGGAGAAAGCACAGUAAAUGGCAUCAGAAUGUCCUGGGGGCUGGGGAUCACUUUCGCUUUCUUUUUCACGUGUUUCUGAGUUUUUAGGUUGUGGGUUUUUUUGGUUUUGGUUUUGGUUUUGGUUUUUUUUUGUUUGUUUUUGUUUUGGUUUGGUUUGGUUUUUUGAUCCCUGCAGUGUACCCAAAAGCUCCCUUCUGGUCCUAUUCAAUAAGAACUCAGGCAUUUGAAAAGCGAUCUCAUGUUAAUCCUGAUUUAAGAUGUCAUCAUCUUUCUGAAACACUUGGAAUGAGCCAACUAACCCAACGAAAGCUGCCCCAUCAAAAGCAUCAAAAGCAUCAUCAAAGCACAUGCAUGGCUGGGAAGAGGUGCUAACGACGGCACCGAAACCGUGAUACAGAGCUCACCUUCACCAUAAGAGCAACAGUCCAACUAUUGUCAGUGCCCCCUCACCCCACCCUGGGAUUUCAGAGUCUCCAGUGUCAAAGAGAACUAUCACCCAGGCCAGGGGGCACCUGUGAUAUCCCAGCACUUGAGAGGCGGAGACAACAGGAUCCAGAGUCCAAGGUCAUCACUAAGGACAUAGUGGAUUUCAGGUCAACCUAGGUUAUGUGAGACCCUUCCUCAAACACACACACACAGUAAACAAACAAACAAACCUCUCUUGUUUAGUUGUUGUUGCUGUUAAUGUUUUUAUUAAUUGGUUAUUUUAUUUAUUUACAUGUCAAAUAUUGUCCCCAUCCUGGUCUCCCCUCCACCACCACCACCACCCCAUCCUCCCUUCCCUUUGUCUCUAAGAGAGUGCCCCCCCCCCACUCCUGCCUCACUCCUCUAGCAUCCCUCUUCUCUGGGGCAUUGAGUUUCCACAAAACCAAGGGUCUACCCUCCCAGUGUUGCCAGAUAAGGCAAUCCUCUGCUAUAUAUGCAGCUGGAGCCAUGGGUCCCUCCCUGUGUACUCUUUGGUUGGUUAUUUAGUCCCUGGGAGCUCUGGGGGGUCUGGUUGGCUAAUAAUUGUUGUUCUUCCUAUGGGGUUGCAAAACCCUUCAGCUCCUUCAGUCCUUCCCCUAACUCUUCCAUUGGGUUGCUGUUAAUUUUAUGUGAACAGAUGUUUUACCUGCAUAUAACACAUGUGACUGGUACCUUCGGAGGCCUGGAGAGGACAUCAGACCCCCUGGAACAGGAGUUCCAUUUAGACAGUUAAGGGCUGCCUUGUGGGUACUGGGAACUGAACCUGAGUCCUCUGGAAGAGCAGCCAGUGCUCUUAACCAUCCCUCCGGCCUCCCUCUGCUUUGUUUAGUUCAGAAGCAAAUUAUAGGAGUCACAGAAUAAACGCUGAAAGGCAUCAUUGGCCCAAGUGAGAAAUGACAGGCACUGCUCCAGGGAACCCUACUUGAAUUAUACUUAAAAAAAAAAAAAAAAAAACAAGGCAGGCCUCAAUCACCAUAAACUCUGCAGAAGCUUUCAAAAUCCUAUAAUGAAUUGGAAGGCACCCCAGUGUCUCUUGGGGUGCCGGGCUCAUGGAGAGACAAAACCAUCUAUGUCUGUAGGGUGGAUGAGUGGAGAGCCUGGCUUUCAGUUUAGGGACUGCAACCAAGCCAGAACCCCCAUUUACAAGGCUGAGCCUUAUUCCUACUGAGCACCUAGGACAAGGGCCUUGUUUGAUAUAAUUACUAGUCCACAGGAAUACAGCAACGACAUUCUACUUUACAACAAAGAAAAUUAGAUUACAAGUUAUCCAACACCCCUCCUUCCUCCCAGCUGAGAUCGCCCACCGUACUGAGUUACAAAGUUGCCAAUUACAGCGUCUUUAAUGCAACGAGUGUUUUCUCAGCUGUUGCUUAUCUGACCGGAUUUCAUACCAAACAGCAACAGCUGGCAGCAACCAAAACAAUUUGGGAGAAAACAGUUUCAUCUUCUGCAUUCAAGUACCACUAUUGACUUAAACUUCAUAUUUACCUUGUUUCCUCUCUUUGCACAAGGAGUCAGCAGGAGGCCUCUAUCUGGGCUCCAUCCUGUCUUCACAAGAGGUUGGGUGACAAAGCUGAGUAUGGAGGAGGCGUUUUCCCAUCACUGGCUGCUAGGUACCAAUCUACAUCAAAGAAAACAUAUUCUUAAGAUCAUCUAGAUGAACCCAAAAUGCCCCAGUUCAUAAGUGUGUGCUUACACAUAAACACACAAACACACACACACACAAACACACACCAAUUUACAUCAAAGAAAACAUAUUCUUAAGAUCAUCUAGAUGAACCCAAAAUGCACCAGUUCAUAAGUGUGUGCUUACACACACACACACAAACUAAUUGCUUUUGCUUACCUUUACCCAGUAACUCCCUACAUCAGGGCCUGGGUCUAAGUCCCCUGAGAGUUUAUACCUUUUCCAUUCGAUCACCAACUCAGUGCCCAGCCUGUGGGGUUUCUACAUCCUUCUCUAACCUGUCUCUCAGCGCUGAGAUUUUGCUUGCAAAUUAUCUCGCUGAUCUUUGAGCUAGGGGAAAAAAUAAAAACAAACAGACAAAAACAGAAAGCACGGGAAAAAAAUAAGUAGGGAGGAAGGAGGAGAGAGCUCCCUGUAUCUUCUAGAGGUGCUAUGUUCACAUCACAGCUAAAUUUACUCCCGUUAUAAAUUUAAAUUUAUAUAGGACUUCAGAGGCCAGAAUUGUGGCACUGCCCAGUGAACAAUAGCAUCCAUGAAAGUUCCUAGUGCAACAGUCACAGAUAAUGUCACAGAAUCAAGGACAGAGUCAGCACCUCUGAAGCUGAGCAGAGACAGUGCUUGAAUGUGGGAGUCAGCCUGGGUUCUCCAUGGGAGACAGUAAGCCAGGGAUCUCUGGGGCUGGGACGUGACUCUGUGAGAUAGAGUGCUUGUUUGUGCAAGCAUGAGAACCUAAUUCCCCAAACUCACAGGAAAAGCUCCGUGUGGCCAUGCGUAUCUAUAACCCCAGUGCCGAGAGCAGGUGAAUGCUGGAGGAUUCCCGGGGUUUUCUGGCGGCCAGCCUAGCCCCAGAUCCAUUGAGAGACCCUGUAUCGAAGGAACAGGGAGAGAAUGAAAGAUAGAACAGGGUACAUGAUAUCUUCCUCUGCCCUCCUAACAGACAUAUACACACAGACAUACAGACACACACACACACAUACAUACACAUAGAAGGGGAGAGAGAGAGAGACUAAAGAGUCAAAGAUAAUCCAAGGGCUUGAGUCAGACAGCAGCUAUGAUUAUACUUCAUUGCUCCACACAUAAGGGACAUUUCCUUCAUCCUUGGAAGUCCAAAAAGACAAACAGUUGGGCUAAUGCAUGGCUGGAGCCCAACUCUAGCCAGACCCACUCCAUCCCCUUAAAAGUUGGCAUGAGUUAUACCUUCCCACAGAGCUCCUGAUGUGGUCUGUAUUGGAUACGCAGUAAGAUUGAAGAAUUUUGGACAAAGCUACCUCUGAGGCUCCACUGUCUGCCAGACAGUAUCAUCAAACAUAACCACACCUACCGCUGGUGGGUGUCACAGAGAGGACAGGCUACUGCCACCCAACUGACAUGUCACAUUCAUUAUGUAUCCAGUAUCCAUCCCCACCUCCAAAUAAUUCCUGAAGAAAUCCAAAACUGUUUUCACUCAACUGUCAUGUGAAUUAAAAAGCUUUACAAACUCUCUUGCCAAAGUAUCUAACCUAAGUGAGAUUUCAUGAACUCCGUUACAUUGAGUCAACACUUAUUCUAUCGCUCAUCGUUCACAUUCCCUCCAUGGCGAUUACUUAACAUGGCAGAGUAUUUUAAGGGAGCAAUCUAUCAUGGCUAUACCUUUGGCCCCUCCGUGAGCUAUAGUUACUGAAGACUAACUCGCUGCUAAUUGCUCUCAAAGGCAGAAAAAAAGAAGUUCAGGAAAACUGCAUCAGCUUCAGCCUGGGAAGAACGGUCAGCCAUCCAUGGUCUAAUCUGCACAGACUCGGAAUGUCCACACAGCAACCACCGUGUAUAAGCCGUAGAUACCAGCCUCACUAUGCCAUUGUGGGUGGUGUGCACUAGUGUUUGUGAGACCCGCACCCUCGGACAAUCUACCUUACGAUGAAGGAGCUUCUUGAUUCUUGCUUGGCGGAUGCAGUCUGCAGGCGAUAGACAGAUAUUGGGAAGAUGGGAAACAGUCAUGCAAAUAUGCCGGAGGCAUCAGAAAACAAAACAAAAGUAAAUAUAAUAGCAAAAAUGGUAACCCUAAUAACCUACUCCACAGACAAGGAAAACACAAUUGUUCCACAUUAAAAGCUCUUGUGGGGUGGGGAAGAAAGGGGAGAGUGGGCUCUUUGUGUUCGAUUCUGGAGGCAUACAUAUAUUAUGCUCACACUGAGAGCUGGCGGGCAGAUGGUUGAAUCUCAUACAGGGAAUAUUAAAUCUAUUUGGAAUCCUCUUGCCCUCCUGAUACAACACUACAGAUGCCCAGAGGGCAAGGCAGUAAGUUCACCAAUGCCAACAAAUCACUCAGGCUCUGUCACUAGCUGGGACAUCCUCACAGCAUCCCUGAGCACAGGGAGUUUAUAGAGUUGGCCCCAUCUACCACAGCAGCAGGUCAGUGGGCUCUCUCUCUCUCUCUCUCCCUCCCUCCCAUCUCUCUCUGUUACACACGCACAUACACACACACCUCCCUUUGUAUUCAUACUGGUUUCUGCUCAUAAAUAUAAAUAUCUAUAAAAUGACACGUGAAAACACACCAGCAUCCAUUUCAUCAUGAGGCCCAGAGAGCUUUUGCAAUCAGUAGAAACUUACCAGGGGAUAUUGUAAAGUGCAGGAGAAAGGAAGAGUCUACACACUUAAUUUGUCCAGCUCUCCUCUACUUGAUGAGUUCUCCAAUGGGCUGUCAUUUAAUAACACAGUGAAGGCUACUCAUUCCACUGAUUCCCCCUGGGGGGCGGGUGGGGGGAAUGACUCUGAGAUAGAAGGAAAUCACAGAAAAGAAAAGAGAAGAAAAGAAAAGAAGAAAGCACGUCCUACUGCCUGGUUUAGACACCUAAAUUUUAGUGGCUUAAGAAUAUUUGAAAAGUAGGGUGUCAACUACUAAUGGGACAGUACACAGACUCAGAUCUUUGGCACUACAGGAGCUGGUUAAAAUGCAGAAUCCUGUGACAGGCCCAGGCCUCCCGCAUUAGAAUCUACAUUUCAGAGGAGCCCCCCUGGGGGCUUGGCUUUCUCCUGAAUCCCUCCAGAGCAGUAACUCCAGGUGUGGCUUUGUGUGCUCUGUUGGCUCACAGAAAGGAAGACCUCAGCUUUUGUUCCCUUUCCUUUGAAAUCUUUGUUGUAUUUUUUAUUGUGAACUCAAAUUGGAAAGGAACUGAGCUACGCCACAGUUGGACGUUGAGUGUGAUGGUGGUUCGUGUAUGAACCUCUACAUACCCUGAAAGUGUGAGCACAACACCUUAUAAACCAGUGGGGUUGUCCACUUAGAAAUGAGAGGCAGCCUCUCCUGGAUAAUCAGUUGGUUAUAGACCGAAGAGACAGCUCAUGUCUGUGUCCAAGAAGCCUCCACUGCCACGGACUGACUGGCAGCCUCUGCUUCCUCCCAGGUUGCUAACGAGCAUGCCCUGGGGUACAAUGGGACUUUCUCUCAGACCGUUCCCACUGGUGUUCCCAGCUCUGUCUAAUCAGCAUGUCUAAUUUGCUGCCCUGGAUGACAGGGUUAAAGGAACAUGCUGCCUGUGGUUGUCCAGUGAGCCUCACGAUGCACCAGUGUGCUUGGGCCCUUGUGGGACCCACACCUGAGCAGAUUAUCAUCCUCAGGAAGUGGGUGAUGUGGCAAGUGUCAUGAGGGAAACUGCAAGAGGAUCAUGGGAAGUCUGGAGAGCCCAAAACCCCCAUGAGGAAGGGAUACCUGGGUGGGGGCCUCAUGGAUGAUCCUGACAGGCUACUCAGGCAGAAGCAACAAACACAAAUGGCCAAGUGCAGAAGGAAUUGGAAACAGACUAGAUUCUAAAUGCUGACUGAAAUAGCCAGAUGCUGGUGGUCAGCGGAGGAAAACGGGGAAGUGGGAGUACCAGAGCAGAUGGACUUCCUAUGUCUGGGUCAUGCUAAGUAUUUUUACAUUCCAUAACAUAAAACUCAUGAGCCCACUACUAAUGGGACAGUACACAAACCCAGAUUGUGACUUCCUAAUUUGGGUUCAUUUAAAAGCAGACCCUGAAACAAAGAUGUCAAAUAAGUCAUCGAAUUGAGAAAUAAAGUAAAAGCCAUGCUAAGGGUUAAAGGAGACAACAGAACAAGGCAAGUCGGUGUGGAGGUUGGCAAGGGAUUCUGUGGUCUGAGUUCUGGAAAGAACCCUCUGGAACAAACUUCAGAAUGUCCCCACUGGGAAACAAGGAAGCUGAUCUCAUGUCAAGCCGGCUCCUACUCUACACGAUUAAGAGAUGAUCCUGAUGUAGGGGGUACUGUGCAGUAGGUGUCUAAGCCAGUGUUUUGUUGCUGUGAAGAGACACCAGGACCACAGCAACCCUUAGAAAGCAUUUAACUAGAGCUGGCUUACAGUUUCAGAGGUUUAGUCCAUUAUCAUCACUGUGGGGAGCACGGUAGCAUACAUUCCAAUGCAUUUGUUUUUAUCUCUGCCACGGGUUAAGGGGAAGGUGUGUAGCAGUAAAGGAGAUAUUCUGUGUCCUGGUGGAGCUGGCGUCCUAGGGGAAGAGGCAGUAAACGACUCCUCAGAGUUCCAUGGAGAGAAGGAGGCUGCCUGUAGACUAUGGAUGUCAUGGAUGUCAGAGUGGAAGAGAGACAGAGUAGGCCAAAGGAGGGGCCAAUGUUGAAACAGAGACCACAGGUGUUAGAAUUAAGUGGUCCCAAACAAAUCACAAAUCUCCGCCCUGCAGCCGGUCUCAGUGUGAGGUUUAUUAGGAGGGGAAAUAGAGGCAGCCUCUGGGAGAGGGAGGAGAGAGGAGAGAAGGGGGCAGGGAGAACGAGGCUUUUAUUGGGCCCGUGGCACAUGUGCAAAGAGACAGACAGCAGCAACGCUGUUUCCUCUUGAGCUGCUAGAGAUGACAUGUCUCAUCAUUAGGUCCCUCGAGGGCUGGCUGUAAAGAUGCCUGAUUGUUGCGAAAUCAUUUCUAGCUGUCCAUGGAUGUACCUAGUUGUCAGCAAUCCUCUCUUUUCCUAAUCAUAAAGAGGAGAAUCAAAAAAGGGGACGGGCCGGUUGUAAAGUGGGAAUAGGGGCAUCGGAUCUCUUAAACUGCUUCCUGUUGUCUAGGGGUGUUGUUAAUUUUGGGGUGUAGCUGACCCUCACCAUCAAGACUCAUUCAAUGUUCGGUCGCAUCAGGUUCUUCUGUGGACAGUGGUUGGUAAUCAUGUAAAAAGGAACUGAUUAAUUGGUUGGUUGGAACUUUUUUGAAUUUGUCAUUGGAGGACUGUAGAGAAGAAAUUAAUGAACCAGGGAACAAAUAGUUAAAAACAGAAAAAUGAGAAGAAGAUGGGUUAGGAAGGGCAGUAUCCAUUUCCAUAUGGGGUUUGUGAAAACCCAGGGAUCAGAGGCAUCAAGCUGUUCUCUGUGUUCUUGGGGGUCUGUUUGGAGUCGUUGAGGUUUGGUUUUUACUGUACCUGACUGGUUGACAUAGAAGCAGCAUUCUUGCUGGAGAAUAAAACCCAAGGCCACCCUCUAUAGCUGUAAGAAAAUCCAGUCCCCAUAGGUCUUGAAGCAUCACUGUUGCCAGGGAAUCGAUCUGUCCUUGGAGAGUGAGCUUGGUUUGAGCCACCUCUUGAAGAUUGCAGACAAGCUGGGAAGAGAACUGGUUGUAUAAGGUUAGAGAGGUGUUCAGUCCUGCCGUUCCGGGAGCAACACCUUCAGUUAUUCCUACACGGACCAAGAGUGACAGGAUUUCACUACCCUUUUGUUAUGUUGGGCAGCUAUUGAGUCCACACCAGGAUUGGUAGCGGCUCUUCCCUGUGGAUUACUCCUAAUUUGGAAAAAAGAGACCAAUGUGCAAACUACUGCCCAGCUUGCAGGUAAAUGAUGAUAGACCUGAGUACCAGAGAGAAUUGGCGUGUUCUGGUCUUCAGGGCACUGUGGCAGAGGUGAGGUAUCAAGGGUUAUGAUUCUGAUACAGUCUAGGGAGCUUAGCGUUCCUACAGAGUGUGUCCCGGAUGUCCUAAAAUAGUCUGCCAUGAAAAGAGAGAUAGAGAAAAGGUAUGGAGUCAUGGCAACAUCGGAGUCAGGGCAGCUGAUAAAAGGUGAAGCGAGGUUGUGUGGCAGCAUCUCUAGAGAAGCUGUAAGAGGUGAUUGUAAGUUACUUCCAGGGGGUACACAUAGCCAGCAAUCUUUGAAGUGACCAGGUUGGGUGACAUUAAGGAAUUGGUAGGCUGAGGUCUGAAACAGAAGGUGAAAUGACAAGUUAGUGCCAUUUAUGAGGGAGGAUGUCAGGGAUGUAAUAACUUUGGAGGAGUGUUUAAUUCUCCUAUUUCUCCAAUUUCCAGAGGUUGGACAAUUGAGACAUACUUUCUCUGGAUGUGAAUAGUCCUUAUUGGAGACCCAGACUGGUUCUUACGGUUGAGCUUACCAACAACGCCCGCUUCCCACCUGGGAUUCCAUGGGUCUUGGGUAUAGAAGAAGAGGGUCUUGCGUCGUUGAUAGAAGUGAUUGUUCUGUGAUUGGCAAGACCAAUUUGUGUAGGAAGCAAAGUGGUCAUAACAUUUAGAUGGAAUGGUGGAUACAGGGGUGACGGCAAUUUGGAUCAGCCCCUGACAUCCCACUAUGGAGCGGCUUCCUGAGCCUAUUUGGAAAGACUGUUUGUUAUCAGUGGGGGUUUCUUGAACCUCGAUUCUCUUUUUCAGAAGGUCUUGUGGGAGGCUUUGGAGGGCAGGGAGAGGAACAGAGUUGAGUGUGAGAGGUUCCUCUGCACUCCUUCAGUGCUAAGUUAGUGUGUUGAGUCAGACCCAAAGGGCACACAUGACGCUCGCUCACAACUUCUGUUCACUACCUUCAAAGUUAGCUCGGUGAUUUUAAAAGUUCAAUUGGACUUUUUGUUGUUGUGUUUGGUUUACAUUCUCAUAUUAUACUCCAGUGUCUCUUCCCCCUGGCUCCUAAAAUACCCAGCACAUGCCCUCCUGGGGCUUUGCCCUUUCAUCAGAAAACCAAAGCUAUGGUAAACAGGUGACCUCUGUCCCUGCUGUGGGCCAAGGACCACGACCAAUGCCUGCUGAUUAAAAUCCCAUCAAAGGGACUGGCACAAGGCGGGAAAAGCCAUCUGGAAAGUCCCCGGCAUCUUUAUGACAGCUACAAAUUGCCAGUUAUUAAUGGCUCCCAAUUCAACAGCCAGACUGGGACCAGGACUCGAUUUGUUAGGGAAAUGCCUGCCGGAGACAAGCAAUUUAACACAGAAAAGGGCAAACACACCCACCCAAAGGCUCUCCUCUAAACAGUUCAAAGGUUUCCAAAUCCUGCUGCUGUAGAAGGCGACUCAUUAAUGGCAGAAAGAUGAUGCUCCAAGCGGUGGCUCAUGACUAAAUCAUACAAUGGAACACCUUCUCGUUGACCUUGAAUUAUGUAUUCAAACAAUGUGUUCUGGUAUUCAGGUUGCAAUCUGGGUAGACAGGAUUCAUGAGAACAUUCCUCAGAGUCCUGUAGGAAACAGAAAUACAAUCUGGGAGAGGAGGGUCUCUUGUGUUUUUCAUGAAAGCAUUUUAGAAAUUGGUUACAACCUUCCUGCGUUUCUGAAGGUUAUUUAACAAGACACUAGAAUGACAGAUGUAGCCUGGAAACUUAACUGUCAGGGAUACUUAGCCUAUACGCCUAGAUUCCUAAAUUAAUUUAAAAUUAUCCCAUCUUAGUUAUUACAAUUAUCUGAACAUUAUAUUGUUCCACAUGCAAGACCAUCUUGGCCCAACUCCUAUCCUAUAGGAAACACCAAGAAUCUGGACAUUUAUUUGACAUGAACCUGAAACCGUAACCAAGAAACCAGGAGAUUUUUCCAACCGCCCAGGCUAAGCUAAGAUGAAUGUUUUACAAGGCAUAAAUCCCAGGUUUGUUGGACAGCCUUACAGGUUAAAUGAUGCAAGCAGUUUUAGUGCAGGCUUGUGUGAUGCCCACUGAAAUGAGAUGUGAGCCGGUACCUGCAGGGGGAUGUGCAGGCUUAUCCAUGAAGACUUAACCGUAAGUCACUCGUUAGAGCUAAUGGAGCGUAACUCUUAAGGUCUAGAUCACACCUCAGAAUUUUACUGCCCACAGAUAGGUAGAGCAAGGCAGGGCACCAGCUGGGGAAAUUAGAGGCAGAUAAAAUGUUUUUACCUGCUCAAAUUAGAGAGGGACCAAAGUGUCAUCACCACUUCUGCUCAGCUGCCGUUGCAGGGCGGUUUAUACAGAGACUCCUCUGUAUAUAUACAGCAUUCAUCAUCAAAACCUGCCUUCGGCUUCCAGAGGCUGUAAUGCCUUUGCUAUAAAAAAGGCACUAGAGGAGACAGGUGUGUCUAAUCUGAUUGGAACAUUACAUAGUGAGUGUAUGCAUGUAUUGCAGCAUCGUGGGGCAUACUAUCAGUAUAUAGAAUGUUUACAUUUUUUGUAUAUUCACUUAAAAUCAUUUUUUAAAAACCCACGUUAGCUGCUGGGAAGAGGGCUCAGUCUGCAAAGUGCUCGACACACAAGAUUGGGGAUCUGAGUUAGGAUUCCCGGCAUGAUCUUGAAAAACUGCGCACGGUGGCAUGUGCACCUGGAAGCCAAACACUAGGGAGGUAGAGAGAGGAGGAGCCCUGGGUUUUGCUGGCCAGCCAGAUUGGCUGAACCAAUGAUGUCCAGGCUCAGUGAGGGACUUUGUCUCAAAACUAAUAUGGAGAGCUAAUGUCACUAAUAUUGUGACAAGGACAAUUGACGUCAACCUCUGGUUCUCACAUACACGUGUACAUAUGUGUGCAUGCAAACCCUCCAGGUAUACACACAAGAACACAUACACACACACACACACACACACACACAAACAACUACUUUAUGCUAUGUCUAUGUCAUCAUUCUACAUGCAACAAAACCAUCCAAGCAGACAUGGAAGACGGUAACAUUGUUGUUUACCUUUCCAUCUAAAUUGAGCUUAGCGUUUUGACAUAACUGCUCAGUAAGUAACUCUUAAAGGAGUGAGAAUACAUAUAUGUGUGUGUGUGUGUGUGUGUGUAUGUAUAUAUAUAUAUGUGUGUGUGUGUGUGUGUAUUCAAUAUAUAUAUAUAUAUAUUCAAUGAAAUAUUGAUAGGGAAAAAUAAUUACAAACAAGAAACAAUUCCCAAAGGAAGAAACCAUUUUAAUCAUUUUUUCCUCUUAUUUCAACAAAGUAAGCUUGUCUACUCCCUUCCUCCAAUUAAAGCCAGAUCUAAACUUAGAAGACCUAUUCUGUCACUUAAAAUUGACCUCUGUCCACCUUGGAAAGAGAACUUCUUGUGGCUACUCAGCUGAGGUUAGUGUAACACUGUCCACCACAGUGGUGCUUACACUCGCUCAGUUAACAGCAAGAAGCCAACGACUGUAUUUAAGUGUCCUCUCGGAUGGCAUCCUAGUGGGAUAAGAUAAGAAAAUCACAUCUGCAGGCACACAUUACUAAUGAGGGGUGAAGUUAAUUGGUGUGCUGCAACUGUACCGACUCCUUGCUUACAGAACCACUCAGCGACAUUAACAAGAUUCUAUACCCCAAGGUUGCUGUUCCGUCACAGCUAGUCAUAACUUCAGGCCGGGGGGUGACAAUCACUCCUGAGGAAGAUGGAUUUCUUGAAUUAGGUAUCAGAGCUAUUAGCUCACAUGGGGUCUUGCUCACACACAGGGGGCUUUCUUCUGUCCCAGUAAAAGCUGCAGAGACCACAGCCCCAGGAUGGGCUGUCCCAGUAAUAGCUGCACAGACCGCUAUGUGCACAGGAUGGCUAUUUUCUGUUCUUCAGUUGCUCAUAGUUAGCUUUAAACAGAUAUCCUCCAUGCCUCACAGAUGAGGGUACAAAAUUUGUCAAAGAUCACAUAGCAGUCCAGUGGCGGAAUCAUGACUGAAAUCGACUUUUAGACUCCAAAGUCUGCGUUUUUUGUGGGGACUGUACCACAUGGCCUGAGACUUAUACUCUGUGAAGGCAGCUGAGUUACUCUGUUACUCUGUUGAGAAGGGCUUAUUGCUAUGUUUCUCCUGCUUGGGGGAGAGUGAGUCCAGGUGAACGGCUGCUCCCCCUCAGGGCCUCCCUCAUGGAUGACUUAGCACUUCACAGUGUUGUUGCUGUUGAUACUGUAGCAAGUCACAGGCACUGUUCUCAAAGCAGGGUUACUUUAAAAAGGGGACUGAAGUGGAACUCAGAAAGGACCCAAUUAGUCAGGGUUCUGAAAGAAAUAUCCAAACACCAACUUAUAAGACAAAGAACCAAACAAACGGUGGGUUUUCAAAAAUUAAUUUUAAAUAAAUACAGUUGUUUUAGUGCAGUGAAUUUACAAAUAAAAACCAUCACUCGGCUGGCUUAAGGUACCCACUCAGAUGCUGGCCCAGUCUCUAACUCCAUCACAAUGAACUUCUCUACAGAGCUGCGGUUCUGAAGCAGGGGCUCUACUCAGGGCUUGCGACUCUCACUAUCAGUUACAUUUUUAUCCGGUUAUCACACACACACACACACACACACACACACACACACACACACACACCACACCCCACGCACAUACUGCACACAUAUACAUACACACAAGCACACACACAUCAUGGAACUGAAACUAAGAAAAUAAAUAUAUUUAGUUUGAUGUCCUCUUCCAUGGCAUGGGUGUCCUUUAUCUACAUCCGUUCUUCCUCCCAAUGAUGAGGAACGGAUUGUUCGAAGCUUUGAAGGGAAAAUCUUACCUAUGGCAUACGGCUCCUCCUACCAUGUCAGCUGGCGCUCACUGUUAGGGCCGUUCUUUUAACUCAUAAAAUGGUCCUGCCUGAAAUUUGCAGGCAAGGAAAAGACAAGAAGACACAGACCAACCCCAGGUCACAGCCCAGAGGAAAUCCCUGCGGACAUUUUGAUGUGGCUUCUUAUUACACAUCUUCCUUCUUAUUACACAUGUUCUUGGCAGUUUUGAUUUGGUUGAUUUGCCGUUGAAAAUACGGCUCCUAUUCUCAAGAUGAACUGGGGAAAACAAAUAUACAAGCAAUUUAGUUUUCAUCCUAAAUAUUGAAAAAAAUAAACAUUUCUAAGAAUGACUUGUGAAGGGCCGAAUUUCAGAAGGCUUAUCAGUUUAAACUCCUUGUGGCUGUAAGGGCACCGAAGCAAAGGAAAGUGACGUCUGCAGGCUCCCCACGCCAAGGAACUUCAUACACUUCCCCAGUAACAGGAAUCCCCAGUGAGGAUUACAGAAUUCCACAAAGGCGGGAGCAGGCAAAAAGGAAAUUAAAAAUUGUGAGGGGAGAAAAGGACAUUAAACAGACUCCGCUCAUUUGUUUUAAUUAGCAUAGCUGAAUUUUAAUUAUCACAGUUCUUCACCAGACUCCAGUAAAUGUGCUGAAACCAUCUUGUAAAAUUAACAGAGCUUUAACACGACAGGGCCUUGCUUAAUUUUAUUCUAUUCUUCAUUUGUUUUUAAGGGGGGGGGGAAGUAAUUUAAGCAAAAAGGUUGGGGGUAUUGGAGCAGGCAACUAAAGUAGAAUGAACUAAGAAAUUCCUCUGACCAUGAUCUCCAGGAAGGCAGGGAGGCCUCUGUUCUAUUUAUUAGGGAUUGCUUCUGGCACAAUUAAUAGUUGGUACCUGGAUGAAUGUAACCAUAAGCAAACAGCACCUCCUCUCGCCUCCUCAAAAAAAAAGUUAUCAAGUUUACAGAGGCAGAGAUCCUAACCUUUAUUUCUUUUCUAUACACUUCUGUCGACUGCAGGCUGAGGCAGUCAAUAGGCAUUCCCUAGCAAGAAUGCUCACUAGGAAGGAGCAUCCUUCACCACCUCCCUCUGGGAAGGUCCCAAGAGUCUAGACGAGAGGUCAAAUGGGUGCUAUCUGGGAAAGCAGAACUCUGCUACCUCCACCCUCACUCACACAGGAUAAACAAUAAAAUGAGUACAUUUAAAAAUAGCUGUUGUCCUAAACUGUCAGAGAAAGACUGGUUACUCUCUUUGUCAACACAUUCGUGAGACUAACACGGGGUAGGAGGCAAUCAGGUCGAAGCUUGAACUCCUCAAACCUCAGUAGGUGUUUCCAUGUGCCAUUCUUAUGUGCAGGGCUCUUUCUGUCACCUGAGAGUCUAUGGAAGUCUGGAAAAUGAGACAACACUGUGCCCUGUAACUCCUGACCUCUUCCUCUCAGCUCUCAUUGGCCAGGCCCUGGAUGAUGCUGCCUGCCUGCGUCUUUGAUUUUGUCUUCACUAGAUCCUUGCUAGAGCUACUUGAUUCAGACCGUAGCUCUGCCGACUUGGGGCAGAUCAUCUCUGACAAGCAUGAGAUUGCCACACCUCGUCCUUACCAGGAUUUCCUCAACCCACUCAUGGCAGCCGUGGCUGAAGGCAGGAGCCUGAGUGGACGAGCUCUCUGCGUGCUCUGUUUCCCUCAACACCAUUCAAUCACAUCAACAUGUUAGGUUCUGCACAGAAACAGAUUUCUAUUCCUGGAAAGUGAAGGCCUUCAAGUGAUUGGGAAAGCCACACACAGACAUGCAGUGUAACAUUACAUUUAGAUUUAAAAAAAAGAACCACAGGAUCUAAAGCCCCUUCACAGUGUUACUCUCCGGCACAGCCGUGCAAAUCGUCUCACUGUGCUCUUACAAAGCCUUCCAGUUCAACACCUUAGUCGUGGGAGAAGAACUGCACCUCUUCCCUGUCAUCCAUCAAGUUGGCUGGAGAGGCUCAGGAGGAAGAGCCCACAGUGUUAUAAGCACACAACACAGUCAACAAAUAGCCUUUGGCACUAAUUGUAGAGUAAACCAAUUGCCAUUAUUGCACAAAGCUUGGGGAUCCAUCUGUCCUGUCCACACCUGUUUGUCCCCGCUGCCUGGAUGCUUAGAUGUCACAUGUUCAUUUAGAAUGUUCUGGAUGACACACAAAGAAUACAGAGAGGUUUGAACGUGGUUUGGAAUAAUGGCCCAAAUUGAGUUUUGCUUCCUUUCAGUUCAUGCUCCCAAGCCCCUGGGCUCCCUUAAAAAUAGCGCUGAAGAUUUGAUUCUUCUGCCUGCGUUUACACAUCAGGUAUGGUUUUGUUUUUUUUUUUAAUUUACAAAAGUCAGGUUUGCUUCUACUACACAAACAAAUUUCAGGGCCUCUCUAUGUCUAAGUGCUUGUAUUUUAUAAGCAAAGUUAAAAUGUCCAUAUGUGAGUGAUUAGCCUUAAUUCUUGGAAGAGUUGGACACAACAGUAGUUAUAGUUAUAGCUAUACCUGUUGUAUAUACAGCCACAUGUUUGUAUAUAUUCCUCUAACCAAACACAAAACCUUGUUAGGUUAAAACUUAAUGGAAAACACACACACACACACACACACACACACACAGAAGAGACAGGAUUACUGAUAAUAAGUAUACAUAGGAAUUAUCACUUGCUAGUCUGAAACAGUCUUUCUUCUUCUCUGUGUGUGUGCCUAGAUAUCUAGGGAUACGCGUGGGUGCGUUGUGUUUAUCUUUAUGUAUUAUGCGUAACAUGUAAAGACAUGGGUGCCCCUCCCCCAUCUAAAAUCAAUGCAUGCUGGGAGCUCUGGAGUAGGACCAGCUCUGCAUCCCGCACUCAGCCUGGGAAUCACUACCGGGAGCGAAACAAAAGCACAGCGCCAGGCUGUUUUAGAGUUCUCUUUCAGGAACAAAAUUUGCAUUCUCCUUCCACCAUAUGUUCAGGUAGCUUUCGAUGGCACCUCACACAGUUGUGUCAUUGAGCUCCCCCAAUCUUAAUGAACAAACUAAUUACAGCCUGAGAUGAACUCCUGCAGACUAGCUAACUCCUGUCGUAGAUCAAGGCGAGAACUCCAUUUCCACAGCUAUCUCCCGAAUUGCAUUAAACAUAGAAACGCGGGGCUGGUGAGAUGGCUCAGUGGGUAAGAGCACCCGACUGCUCUUCCGAAGGUCCAGAGUUCAAAUCCCAGAAACCACAUGGUGGUUCACAACCAUCUGUAACAAGAUCUGGCACUCCCUCUUCUGGAGUGGCUGAAGACAGCUACAGUGUACUAACAUAUAAUAAAUAAAUAAAUCUUAAAAAAAAAACAAAACAUAGAAACGCCUUCUUCAUUCCAUCUGAACAACACCCACGUCACUGUGACCCUCCCCAAUCAAGCUGCAGCAGUAAGUAAUACGGCACUACCACAGUGAUUUUUUUUUCAAGUACAAGUGCAACUAGGCAGCUCUUGAUUGGCUUAAGUCUAGUGGCCUGCUCAUGGAACCACGGGUUCACUGUACUGAAUUGGACAUCUAGGCACUAUUAUUCACUUGAGCGCUGAAGUUUUGUUCAUUUACAAAAGAUUCUCAACAAGGUCAGAACAAAGCUUUGUCCAUUCGAAGCCUUUUCAAAUAGUGUAAGAGCAACUUCAUCAAGUACAAAUAUAGCUAAGUCAACUGCCAGGAAAACAGAGACAGACGCCAGAAGUAGACCUGACUUCAUGCUCUGCUCUCAGGAUCUGAAUGUGAAGCCUGUUGUACCUGUUAAUUAUAACACUGGGUCGGAUUGACAACAUGGGUCUCAGGUGGAAAGAACCUGGUAGACACUUCUUAAUAGUGUCAAGUCUGUUUUAGGACACAAAAUAGUGUCCUGGGCUUCUGCAUGUCUUCCUUUAUUGGUGUACCUGCAGUUUUCUCAUUGGAGUUGUAGAAUUUCAAAGAGUUGCAGCUGUGACAAGCUAUAGAUAAAGGUGAGAACUCAUGGUUACAUGGGAUCACAGCUCCAACUAGAAAUACAUCUGCCCUAGGAUUCAGACUUCUUCAUCCACAGAGUAGGGUAUAGUUAAGCUAGAAACCAGAACUAUAAGCCCAAACACCUCUGAUGCCACAUGAGAGACACCACAUUUAACUUGAUUCUCUCUAUCUAGAUCAGACCUCCUGUUGCUAAAUCUGUUUAUUAUACAAUUAAUUCCUCUAUCCAGUACUGUCUGUUGUUAUCAUUAUCAUUAAGGGAGUAUGGCACUUGUGAUGGUUUGUAUAUGCUCAGGCCAGGGAGUGGCACUAUUAAGAGGUGUGGCCCUGUUGGAGUAGGUGUGUCACUGUGGGUAUGGGCUUUAAGACCCUCAUCCUAGCUGCCUGGAAGUCAGUUUUCUGCUAGCAGCCUUCAGAUGGAGAUGUAGAAUUCUCAGCUCUGCCUAUACCAUGCCUGCCUGGACGCUGCCAUGUUCCUGCCUUGUAGAUAAUGGACUGAGCCUCUGAACCUGUAAGCCAGCCCCAAUUAAACGUUGUCCUUAUAAGAGUCUUUGGUCAUGGUGUCUGUUCACAGCAGUGAAACCCUAACUAAGAUAACAUUUGUACUUCAGAUUUCCUUGCCAGUGCCGUCUCUUACUUACCCUUUGAAAAUAUUCAUUUUCUCACACGACGCACAUCUUAGUUAGGGUUACUGUUGAUGAGAUGAGACGCCAUGACCAAAAGCAACUUACAGAAGAGAGGGUUUGUUGGGUUUACACUUUCAUGGCAUUACUCAUCACUGAAGGAAGUCAGGACAGGAACUCAAGCAGGUUAUAAGCUAGAUUGUAAAGUAGCUCAAGGGAUCAUAAGGUCCUAGAAGCAAAUUGGGAUUAAAUUUAGAUCAUCUCAAUUUAAAAAUCGCCCCCCCCCAUAGGGUUAGACAGAAUAUACAAAUGAUGAAAGAACUGUAAACAAAUAUAGUUACUAGCAUAAUAGCUCCUCUUUGUGUUAGAUGCUCUAGUUUGCAAAUACUUCACAUAUAACCGCUUCCUACUCAAUGUGUACAUUAUAUAAUCUCUAUAAUUAUAAUAUAGUAUUGUGCUGGCUAGUCUUAGGUCAACUUGACACAAGCUAUAGUCACCUGAAAGAAGGGACCCUCAGUUGAGAAAAUGCCUCCAUAAGAUUGAGAUGCAGGCAAGACUCUAGAGCAUUUUCUUAACUGCUGAUUAAUGGGGGAGGGCCCAGCACACUGUGAUAUGUGGUUGUGGGUAAGAAAGCAAACUGAACAGACCAUGAUGAGCCAGGAAGCAGCACUCCUCCACAGCCUCUGCCUCAGCUCCUGCCUCAGCUUCCUGCUCUGCUUCAGUUCCUGUCCUGACUUCCAAACCAAACAAUAACAGAACCCUCAUUCCUAUGGAUGUCCUGCAUCUUACACCCACAGCUCUUUGUUCCAAUUCCUAUGGAUGUCCUGCAUCUUACACCCACAGCUCUUUGUUCCAAAUGAGUGACCAGAGUCUUCCUCAACCUCUCUGCCUCAUUACCAUCCGUUAUCUUUUAGAAACACAUCUGACUAUACCUUAUCUCUAAAAAUUCCUGCAGUCUCUCAAUCACCCGGGAUCCAGACGACAGAGGCACUGAAGUUCUUGACGCCACAUCCGGAGCUUCUUAUUCUUAUCAUCCAGGGUGUAAACAAGCCGAGGGUACCUUAAGGAAAAAGAGGAUUCCACCAUCAACGUUCCUCAGCCUUCCCCUGCACACACACUCUAUACUCCAGCAAAACUACUGUUAGGAUUUUAAAUGUCAAGUCAAAUUUUCUACUAGAGUAUGACUCGCAUUGGGUGCCAAACCAGACCUUGUCUGACUAGUCUUUGACACAAUGAUGAGCAUAGAGUGAAUUAAACGCACAUGUUCUGUAAUUCACACAAUAACACACAUGUUCUGCAAUUCACACAAUCUUAACUACCAUAGACAGGAAGUCCUACCUCUUGAAAAGAAGAAUCUUUUUGCAAAUAGAUAUUUGGGUGGAUAAAGAAAAAGAUUGGCCUGAGACAUACAGUCAACAGUAAUCAGCUAAGCCUGGGUUUUAGGCAGAAUUAUCACAAAGCCAUACAAUAAAGAUCUAAGUUUGCCAGAUGCCAUUCAAGGCACACAUUUAAAUUUGAGUUUCAAAUAAACAAUGAAGUGUAGUGUUUGCCAAAAUGUCACAGAGAGGGGCAAGUGUUGCAGAGAUGUCCUUUGCCUAUGUGUGUGCUUUCCCUGAUCUGGCAGUUCUACAUAACAACCACAGCUUAGCUCUGCAGUCCUGGCAACCUCAGACAGGUGAUGUAAGGUGGUCCAGGGCCUGUCCUUCUGAACCUAUGGCUAAUAGAAGCACAUACCUUAUAGAAUUAAGAUAAUUAAGGAGUCCAGGGUCAUCUUUACAAUGCAAUUCUAACUUUUUUUCAAGUCUAUAAAAUGGGCUCAAAACUGACUAGAAAUGUAGACACAUCAAAUGGUGAAAGGCCGUGUUCUCAUGUCAGGAAGCAAGAAGGUCAUUUCCAGCCACAAAAAUAAGAGAGACACUUAAUUUUAACAAUUUCUACCCAUUUAUAUGUUGCUAUCAGUUAUGUUACAUUAUCAUACUAGGGGUAUUCGACUUGUCUUUAAACUCACUCUAAUAACAAAUCUAAAAGCUGUAUCACAGGCCAUUAGGCACAUGUAACAGGGACCAGGUUGGUAGGGCACGUAUACAGCGCUACACCAUCAGUACUAUCUGAUCAUUGUCCAGUCAAACGUAGAGUAAAUCAGCUGAAUUACGAAAAACACAGGGGCUGGAGAGAUGGCUCAGUGGUUAAGAGCAGUGACUGUUCUUCCAGAGGUCCUGAGUUCAAUUCCCAGCACCCACAAGGUGGCUCACAACCAUCUAUAACUGUGGUCCCAUGGAAUCUAAUACCCUCUUCUGGUGUGCAAAUGUAUGUGCAGGCAUAUACAUAAAUAAAUAAAUCUUUGUUAAAAAAGAAAAAAGAAAAACACAGACAAGGGACCUGUGAGAUGGCUCAGGGAGAUACUUACCACCAAACCUGCUGAUCUGAAUUUGAUCCCCCAGUAACCACAUGGUGGAUGGAGAGAACUGGCUCCUGCAGGCUGUCUUCUGUCAUACCUUUACUGUGUCACAUACAUACACACACGGUAAGUAAAUAAAUAUAAUAAAACACAGCCAAGUAAAGAGAGGGAUGCAUCCAAGGAGAAACAACCCUGAAAGCUUAUAUUAAUAUGCUCUAGUGGGAAAUACUGUCUCCGGCAUUACUAUUAGAAACACAGACUCACAGGCACACACACACACACACACACACAGGCACAUCUCAAAGCAAUAAAAUGCCUGCAGAGAAGGAAAGCAAAAUAUGCUUGCUGAGCAAUCAUUACCGAACAGGAGGAAGCCUGAAAUCAACAAAGGAAUAGUCACGAGAAAUUUAUAAGUUAAUAUCGGUCACACCUGCAAAUUACUACAGUGAGGCCCCUAGCCAAAUCCCAAGCACCUUUUAAAUGGAUUCACUGAGAUGUUUAUAUACCCCCUUGGAGUCGCUGAAAUGCUGUGAAUCUACAUUUGCUGGUUACCCCCAAUUAAAAACAAGGCAAGCGGGUGGCUGUCACCCAGUACCACGCAGAACACCUGGGGAAGCAGCAAUGCGUUUGCUCACAGGGUUGUCACUCAGGAUGCAAAUGUAUUGUUUGGAUUUGAUUCCCCUAAAGCUUUACCUUUUGAAGAUAGCAAGACUCUUAAAUGCCUUAAAAAGCCCUCACUGGAAACGCUCCGGUGUGUUCUCAGCCAGUUUAGCGAAGCAUGUAUCUUGAAGUGUUGGCUAAAAUAGCCCAUUUGAGCAUCAGUUUGCGCACACAUCACGUGUUCUCAUCUCCCUUGUUUUCCAGGAAAAGGUCAAACCCAUCUAGCUGACAUGCUUAGCCGGAGUUGGAGAGGGGCGUCAUUUCCGGGCCGUGGAGUGGAACGCGCAGCAAAUGAGGCUAAUCAUUCGGCAGCUUCGAGGAAGAGAGAUUAUGUGAUCAUCAUUUUCUCACCAAUUGAGAGUCACUGUGCAUAAAAAUAGAAAUUACUGGGGGGGAAAAAUCAGACUACUUAGCAAAGAAAUCAGAGCACCACACAGAAGGUCCUCAGCUGAGGCUUGACUUUCCGUCGCAGGCAAAACACGCUCUCAGGGAUGUGAAAGGAAGAAGAUGCCUCCCGAAAGCAAUCUGGCUGUUCCUUUAUUCUCCAGACAAGAUCUGUGGCCAGCACCCUCAGUGGCCUGGCGCAUGCCCCUUGCCUGGUGUCAGUCACACACUCUUGCUGCUGGUGAGUGGGAGAAGGUUCCGUGUCUUCGUAUUGCCUGCAAACAGCAAUGGCACUGUCCCAAACAUGCUCCUGGAGUGCUAUGAGGCUCUGUGAGGCUGACAAGCGGGCAGCCAAUGUGUGUGCACCUGCCUGUUAAAGCCUUCCACGUAUCCUGCUUCACGUUUUACACGUGAGCAUCUAACAGCAAAAGACAUCCUCUGACAACGGGGGAAGAAGAG